UUUAGUGCUAUAUUCUUUGUCAUACAUCUCCUUUUCCGCAGGAAGCCAGACACUGGACAAGAAUGCGAUUUUGGAAUCAUGGAUAUCAGGGCUUCCCACAGAGUAGCAGAGCAGAGUUCUUGCCUAGCAAUGUCUGACUCUGACCCUUCCUGAAGCUACAUGACACCAGCUGCAAUCAAGUGUUAACAUUAACAAGACUAAAUGGAAUAAGGGUUGCUGGAAAAUGUUUUGCAUUGAUAAGCAAUCUACGGCAUGGAGACAAUGCACCCAGAAAUUUGGAAGUGUCAUGUUUCCUCUACUUGGACUAUGUGCUUAACCUGCUUGUGCUGGUUCUGUGUUCAUGAACUGUAUUGUUUAAAAUGGAUUAUGGUUAAAAGAAUAUGAAUAAAAUCAAA